AUUGAACGCUGGCGGCAGGCCUAACACAUGCAAGUCGAACGAGUGGCGGACGGGUGAGUAAUGUCUGGGAAACUGCCUGAUGGAGGGGGAUAACUACUGGAAACGGUAGCUAAUACCGCAUACCAUCGGAUGUGCCCAGAUUGGAUUAGCUAGUAGGUGGGGUAACGGACCACCAAGGCGACGAUCCCUCGCUGGUCUGAUAGGAUGACCAUCCACACUGGAACUGAGACACGGUCCAGACUCCUCAGGGAGGCAGCAGUGGGGAAUAUUGCACAAUGGGCGCAAGCCUGAUGCAGCGAUGCCGCGGGUAUGAAGAGGGCCUUCGGGUUGUAAAGGACUUUCAGCGGGGAGGCGUUACCCGCAGAAGAAGCACCGGCUAACUCCGUGCCAGCAGCCGCGGUAAUUC
rnacentral:rRNA from 1 species